UACGAAGGGUGCAAGCGUUACUCGGAAUUACUGGGCGUAAAGCGUGCGUAGGUGGUUUUUUAAGUCCGUUGUGAAAGCCCUGGGCUCAACCUGGGAAUGGCAGUGGAUACUGGAAAGCUAGAGUGCGGUAGAGGGUAGUGGAAUUCCCGGUGUAGCAGUGAAAUGCGUAGAGAUCGGGAGGAACACCAGUGGCGAAGGCGGCUACCUGGACCAGCACUGACACUGAGGCACGAAAGCGCGGGGAGCAAACAGG
rnacentral:rRNA from 1 species